UAAGACUUGCCUAUCCUUGCC
rnacentral:piRNA from 1 species